rnacentral:misc_RNA from 1 species
AAAUGGGCCGGUCUGUGCUCCGAGGGGGCAGGCGUGACGGUUUGGUCGACAGAAGUUCAGCAAGUGCUGGCAUCGUGACCUCCCUUCCGGGUUCGAGCUCGCGCAGAAUAUACUCAUGCAAGUUUGAAGUUGUCGCAACACAAAGNUGCGAAAUACUGUUUUUGCAACGCAAUGCAUGCCGGCAGACGAUUGCUCUUGCACGCGCGG